UGUGGGAGCGGGCUUGCUCGCGAAUGCGCAGUGUCAGUCAUUGAUUAUUUGCCUGACGCACCGCAUUCGCGAGCAAGCCCGCUCCCACA
rnacentral:antisense_RNA from 1 species